CAGUCGCCACGGUAAUACGUAGGUGGCAAGCGUUGUCCGGAAUUAUUGGGCGUAAAGGGCUCGCAGGCGGUCUCUUAAGUCUGAUGUGAAAGCCCCCGGCUCAACCGGGGAGGGUCAUUGGAAACUGGGAAACUUGAGUGCAGAAGAGGAGAGUGGAAUUCCACGUGUAGCGGUGAAAUGCGUAGAGAUGUGGAGGAACACCAGUGGCGAAGGCGACUCUCUGGUCUGUAACUGACGCUGAGGAGCGAAAGCGUGGGGAGCGAACAGGAUUAGAUACCCCAGUAGUCCCUGUCUCUUAUAA
rnacentral:rRNA from 1 species